rnacentral:tRNA from 1 species
GCCUGGGUGGCUCAGUCGGUUGAGCAUCUGACUUCGGCUCAGGUCAUGAUCUCGUGGUCCGUGGGUUCGAGCCCCGCGUCGGGCU